ensembl:snoRNA
GGUGCCCCUUGAGGCGUUGCAGCCCAACUGUCCCUGUUGGAGCUGUGUCACGAGGUGGCAGAGAGCACGGGUGGUGUUCUCCACCGAGGCUCCGCACGUGGACGCCUCGGAACUAUUUCACCACCAACAUU